rnacentral:rRNA from 1 species
GAGUGCAAUCAUACCAGUACUAAUGCAUCGGAUCGAAUCAUAACUCCGCAGUUAAGCGUGCUUGGAGGCCGAGCGUAGUACUAGGAUGGGUGACCUUCUAGGAAGCCCUCGUGUUGCACCUC